rnacentral:rRNA from 1 species
GAUGAACGCUGGCGGCGUGCCUAAUACAUGCAAGUCGAGCGAACGGACGAGAAGCUUGCUUCUCUGAUGUUAGCGGCGGACGGGUGAGUAACACGUGGAUAACCUACCUAUAAGACUGGGAUAACUUCGGGAAACCGGAGCUAAUACCGGAUAAUAUUUUGAACCGCAUGGUUCAAAAGUGAAAGACGGUCUUGCUGUCACUUAUAGAUGGAUCCGCGCUGCAUUAGCUAGUUGGUAAGGUAACGGCUUACCAAGGCAACGAUGCAUAGCCGACCUGAGAGGAUGAUCGGCCACACUGGAACUGAGACACGGUCCAGACUCCUACGGGAGGCAGCAGUAGGGAAUCGUCCGCAAUGGGCGAAAGCCUGACGGAACAACGCCGCGUGAGUGAUGAAGGUCUUCGGAUCGUAAAACUCUGUUAUUAGGGAAGAACAUAUGUGUAAGUAACUGUGCACAUCUUGACGGUACCUAAUCAGAAAGCCACGGCUAACUACGUG